GAUGAACGCUAGCGACAGGCUUAACACAUGCAAGUCGAGGGGCAGCGCGAUGGUAGCAAUACCAUUGGCGGCGACCGGCGCACUGGUGAGUAACACGUAUGCGACCUGCCCCGGACAGGGGGAUAAACCCGGGAAACUGGGCCUAAUACCCCAUACGCCGAUUGGAUGCAUGUCCUUUCGGUGAAAGAUCCGUCGGUCCGGGAUGGGCAUGCGGCGCAUUAGCUUGUUGGCGGGGCAACGGCCCACCAAGGCGACGAUGCGUAGGGGUUCUGAGAGGAAGGUCCCCCACACUGGUACUGAGACACGGACCAGACUCC
rnacentral:rRNA from 1 species